UACCUGUGUCCUGAGGCUCCCACCAAGCCUU
rnacentral:piRNA from 1 species